GAUCUAAAAGAGAAGAAAGAAGUUGUGGAAGAGACAGAAAAUGGCAGAGAUGCACCAGCCAACGGCAAUGCUGUAAGUAUCGCUAGACCAUCCUUUGGAGAUGGCCCUUUGCUUGCUGCUGUUCCCGCGGACUCAUUGUUUGGCAUUCUCUGGGAGGAGGAAACAUUGCAUACAGCAGCACCCUGCUGCGUAACCCCAUUGUGAAAGCAACAUGCUGGUACAGUUUCAGAGUCGGGAAAGGCCUCCAGCCCGGGGGUGAUUUCCAGGUGUAUGGGCGGGAAGGGGAGGUGCGGCGGGAGCUCUUGGGCUGACUCUUAAAUCCCGCAGAGAACACUAGUCUUCAGUGCCGCCUCCUUCUAGAAGCCCUGGUUUGGUUUGAAAAUGCGGCAAACAGAUGGGUGGGGAAAGCCUUGUACACAAGCAAAGCUGGGGUUUGCUUGUUUUGUUGUUUUUCUAACAACUGCCAGAGCGAAACUGGCAAUGCUGCCUUUUAAUCUGACACGAUGUCACAAUAGACUUUAGAUUCCUGUCUGAGGCUCAAGAUGCAGCCGCCACAUUACCAUCAAAUUUAAGUCCUUUAUCUUUGUUUCUGCGUGAAGUGUGGACAGAAUGUGGAACAGCCUUGAAGUGAAAACACACAUAGCUUGCAUGUCAGCCCGUGGGCACCUGCUAGGAAGGCUGAGAGGGGAGCAAGAUNGCAAGAUGGGGGCCUGUCUCCUCAACUGCACUUGCUGGAUGGGUUCCUAGAUCGCUCGAUCUCGGGCUGCGGUUCUGUGUGUGGGGAUGGGAUGGGGAGGUGAGCCAUUUCCCUCCAUGAUUUUUUUUUUAAGUGAGUGUCUUUUCUUGACAAGGAGAACGAGGAAAACGGCGAGCAGGAGGCUGACAAUGAAGUAGACGAAGAGGAAGAAGAAGGCGGCGAAGAAGAGGACGAGGAGGAAGAGGGUGAUGGUGAGGAAGAGGACGGCGAUGAAGAUGAGGAAGGCGACGCACCCACAGGCAAACGGGCAGCUGAGGAUGACGAGGACGAGGACGUCGAUCCCAAGAAGCAGAAAACCGACGAAGAUGACUAGGCAGCACAUAUAUAUAUUUUUUAAAAUAAGGAGAAAAACAAACAAAAGGCCAGCGCGACCUGUUCACUUUCAACGUCCCGUCGCAACCCCCCUGCCGUGGUCACCCUUCCCAAGUAGAGCGAACCUGCCCGCGAAGCCGCCGCCACUCGGAACGAAUGCCCGAAAAGAUUCCCCCCCAUCAGUGGGGCGAGAACCCCUCUUUCCCCAGCACCAAAACUUCAAGGCCCUGCUUUCUUUCUUAAAAAUACUUUAAAGGAGAAUUUGUUUGUAUUUUUUAUUUACAUUUUAUAUUUUUGUACAUAUUGUUAGGAGGUCAGCCAUUUUUAAGUGAUCUCGGAUUGACCAAAUGGGGGGCUUUGAAGUGUGUGUCUCUCUCUCUCGUUACCCAUCUCUGACUUUACUUGUGGUGUGACCGCGUCCCAACAAACCAUUCUCCCGAAGGAGGAAAAACGACCUUGUAAAAAAACAAAAACGCAAAAAAAAAAAAAUUUACAAUCUUAUUCCGAGCAUUCCAGUAACUUUUUUUGUGUCUGUCCUUUAGCUGUACUAUAAGUAGUGGGUUUGUAUGCGAUGGCAAGGCCAAAGAGAAAAGGUUUUUUUGGUUUUUUUUCUGUCUAUGAAGUUGCUGUUUAUUUUUAUUUUUAUUUUUUUUUGGCCUGUUUGAUGUAUGUGUGAAACAAUGUUGUCCACCAAUAAAGCGGAAUUUUAUUUUGCUGAGUUGUUCUAA
ensembl:lncRNA